rnacentral:tRNA from 1 species
GGGCCGGUAGCUCAGUCUGGCAGAGCGUCUGACUCUUAAUCAGACGGUCACGUGUUCAAAUCGCGUCCGGCCCG